GACGAACGCUGGCGGCGCGCCUAACACAUGCAAGUCGAGCGAUGAAAUUUUAACCGAUCUCUUCGGAGAGAAGAUAAAAUAGAUUAGCGGCGGACGGGUGAGUAACACGUGAGAAACCUGCCUUUCACAAGGGGAUAGCCUCGGGAAACCGGGAUUAAUACCCUAUGACACAUUUCCUUCGCAUGGAAGAAAUGUUAAAACUCCGGUGGUGAAAGAUGGUCUCGCGCCUGAUUAGCUAGUUGGUGGGGUAACGGCCCACCAAGGCCAUGAUCAGUAACCGGCCUGAGAGGGUGAACGGUCACAUUGGAACUGAGACACGGUCCAAACUCCUACGGGAGGCAGCAGUGGGGAAUAUUGCACAAUGGAGGAAACUCUGAUGCAGCGACGCCGCGUGAGCGAUGAAGGCUUUCGAGUCGUAAAGCUCUGUCCUAUGGGAAGAUAAUGACGGUACCAUAGGAGGAAGCCCCGGCUAACUACGUG
rnacentral:rRNA from 1 species